rnacentral:rRNA from 1 species
UACGUAGGGGGCGAGCGUUGUCCGGAAUCAUUGGGCGUAAAGAGCGUGUAGGUGGACUGGAAGGUCUGGUGUGAAAGCCCGGGGCUCAACCCCGGAGGGUCACUGGAAACCAAUAGUCUUGAGUCCGGAAGAGGAGAGUGGAAUUCCUGGUGUAGCGGUGGAAUGCGCAGAUAUCAGGAGAACACCAAUGGCGAAGGCAGCUCUCUGGUACGUGACUGACACUGAGACGCGAAAGCAUGGGGAGCCGAACAGG